AACGAACGCUGGCGGCAGGCUUAACACAUGCAAGUCGAGCGGGCCCUUCGGGGUCAGCGGCAGACGGGUGAGUAACGCGUGGGAAUCUACCCAUCUCUGCGGAACAACUCCGGGAAACUGGAGCUAAUACCGCAUACGCCCUUUUGGGGCAAGAUUUAUCGGGGAUGGAUGAGCCCCCGUUGGUUUAGCUAGUUGGUGGGGUAAAGGCCUACCAAGGCGACGAUCCAUAGCUGGUCUGAGAGGAUGAUCAGCCACAUUGGGACUGGGACACGGCCCAAACUCCUACGGGAGGCAGCAGUGGGGAAUAUUGGACAAUGGGCGCAAGCCUGAUCCAGCCAUGCCGCGUGAGUGAUGAAGGCCUUAGGGUUGUAAAGCUCUUUCACCGAUGAAGAUAAUGACGGUAGUCGGAGAAGAAGCCCCGGCUAACUUCGUGCCAGCAGCCGCCGUAA
rnacentral:rRNA from 1 species